AUGCCAUUUUUUGUUGCAAUCAGCUUUAGGUACCAAAAAUGGCGUGACAUGGGCCUAAGAGCUUCCAGCCGUUGUGAUGUCGUGACUUCCGAGUUCUUCGUCUUCUCACGAAAACCGAACGAAAAAAAGAGAGCAGAACUAAUCAGCAAACGUCCAGCGCAUCUCCGAUUCAAGUGCGUUAUGAAGAAGAUGAUGCAUAUCAAUGUUAUGUUGUCAAUGUUGAUGGAAGGUGAUCAAGAAUUAAGAUUUGCAGAGAAGCGUUGCGGUUGA